CGUACGUAAGGGCAAGUAGAGGCACAUGCUCUGAAGAACAACGGAGAACAACGGGGAGUCCGAGACCGUGGGUACUUCGGUCAGUGUUGGCCCAGAAUGAAAAACACACCCCUUAUAAUCCGUGGAGGAUGUAAUCCACGACAUUAAUAACUGGUGUCAUGUCUGGAUUAGAUGUUCGAGUGCUACAAUGUACACCUUGUUCUUAACAAGUGCCACGAGGACUCAGUGUCAUCAUCUUGGGGUCUUCUUACUGCCACACAGCCCCAUGAGUUUGAAAAUAACUCAGAUGAACAGAUUAGAAAACCAAGGUGCAGACAGAUGGGAGCACUUGAAGUCACACAUCUAGACAAAUGAGACCCAGACAGCAAACUGAUUUGUCCAAGGUCACAUAGUUAAAAAAUGAGGAAGCCAGGAUUUGAUCCCAAGCACUGCAACCUUUGAGAUUUGUGAAGAAGUUCUGAAGGCUGUUAUUAUUCCCUGGGACUUGUCAUAAAUGGAAACUUCGACUCUCCAGGAAAGAAACUUCAAGUUGGAAGAUCUUUGGUCACGCGAGCUGGACAUUGUCUCCAGACUGAAGAGCCUUUUCUGACAUCCUCAUUUGUUCUGCUGUGUAAUAGCAUGGGAUCUUUCAGAGCUGUCGACAUCUGCUGCACUCUAGAGAGCUGCAGAACCGAGCCAGCAAAGCAAUAAUAAUUAUGCCCAAAUGGACUGCAAAGGAUGUAAGAGAUAAGAAGGAAGACCAGAAAAAAAUACACUCGAUGCAAUGGUGUUCCAGCCUGAAGUGAGUGAAUGUGUGUGCGUGUGUGUGCAUGUAAAUGUACAGUCGCUGAGGCCAUACACCUGUAUGUGCGUUGAGGACACAAAUCCUUUUCCUGAGAGCAGUGGACUGGAAAUCAAUCUGGCUCAGGGUUCUCCAAAUUCCCAAUCCUUGCUCCUUCCCCCAGAAGGCCACACUCAAUGUAGGUGCGGCUUCCUACAUUGCAGGGUAGUUUGUAGGACACUGUGGAGAGAGACCUUCUUCCUUCUGCCCCCCGCUCCACCCUUAUGCGUAGCUGUGUCUUCUUCCCUGGAACUACUCUGAGGAUAAAUUCGGCUUGUUGGAAAGAGGCUGUACAUCUUCCUGAUUGUCAACAUGCUAGUUAUUAAAUACCUGGCCUGUUGGGCCUCCCCUAGGAUUAAAACUAGCAAACUGGCAUCUACUGGAUGCUUAGUAUUUGCCAGGCACUGUGUAAGCCCUUCAUGUGCAGGAUCAUUCUUCCUUUAAUAACUCUACCAGCUUGGUGUCACUGUAUCCCCAUCUGCAGGUGAAAAGAUUAGGGCAUGGAGGGUCCCCAGCUGACAAAGAGGGGCUUCAAAAAUGGACCCUGGGCCUCUCCUACCCCGGCAUCGGCCUUCCUGGGUACAAGGCCAUAUGCCCAGAGGCCCCGCUUGUGCACCGACAGAGAGACUGGUUUUUAAGGCUGUGGUUACUCGAGAACAAAAGAACCGGUCAUGCCGUUCAUGUGUGACUCUUCACAAAGCAGCCAGGCCACUCAGUGACACACUUGGUCACUUUCAUGAACAAC